CCAGACUCCUACGGGAGGCAGCAGUGAGGAAUAUUGGUCAAUGGGCGUGAGCCUGAACCAGCCAAGUAGCGUGCAGGAUGACGGCCCUAUGGGUUGUAAACUGCUUUUAUACGGGGAUAAAAGGGUGAACGUGUUCUCCUUUGCAGGUACCGUAUGAAUAAGGACCGGCUAAUUCCGUGCCAGCAGCCGCGGUAAUACGGAAGGUCCUGGCGUUAUCCGGAUUUAUUGGGUUUAAAGGGAGCGCAGGCUGCACUUUAAGCGUGUUGUGAAAUGUACCGGCUCAACCGGUAACGUGCAGCGCGAACUGGGGUGCUUGAGUACGAAGAGGGAAGGCGGAACUCGUGGUGUAGCGGUGAAAUGCUUAGAUAUCACGAGGAACUCCGAUCGCGAAGGCAGCUUUCCGUUUCGGAACUGACGCUGAGGCUCGAAAGUGCGGGUAUCGAACAGGAUUAGAUACCCUGGUAGUCCGCACGGUAAACGAUGGAUGCUCGCUGUUGGAUAUUUUUAUUCAGUGGCUAAGUGAAAACGUUAAGCAUCCCACCUGGGGAGUACGCCGGCAACGGUGAAACUCAAAGGAAUUGACGGGGGCCCGCACAAG
rnacentral:rRNA from 1 species